rnacentral:rRNA from 1 species
UACAGGGGGGGCAAGCGUUGUUCGGAAUUACUGGGCGUAAAGGGCUCGUAGGCGGCCAACUAAGUCACACGUGAAAUCCCCAGGCUUAACCUGGGAACUGCGUGUGAUACUGGAUGGCUUGAAUCCGGGAGAGGGAUGCAGAAUUCCAGGUGUAGCGGUGAAAUGCGUAGAUAUCUGGAGGAAUACCGGUGGCGAAGGCGGCAUCCUGGACCGGCAUUGACGCUGAUGAGCGAAAGCUAGGGGAGCAAACAGG